AUACGUAGGGGGCAAGCGUUGUCCGGAAUUACUGGGCGUAAAGGGUACGCAGGCGGCUUUGUAAGUCAGAUGUGAAAGACUAUGGCUUAACUGUGGUAAGCAUUUGAAACUACAGAGCUUGAGUACAGGAUGGGAGAGUGGAAUUCCUAGUGUAGCGGUGAAAUGCGUAGAUAUUAGGAGGAAUACCAGUGGCGAAGGCGACUCUCUGGACUGUAACUGACGCUGAGGUACGAAAGCAUGGGGAGCAAACAGGAUUAGAUACCCUGGUAGUCCAUGCUAUAAACGAUGAGUGCUAGGUGUUGGGAGGGACACCUCUCGGUGCCGAAGUUAACACAUUAAGCACUCCGCCUGGGGAGUACGGUCGCAAGACUGAA
rnacentral:rRNA from 1 species